ACGAACGCUGGCGGCGUGCUUAACACAUGCAAGUCGAACGGAAAGGCCCUGCUUGCAGGGUACUCGAGUGGCGAACGGGUGAGUAACACGUGGGUGAUCUGCCCUGCACUUCGGGAUAAGCCUGGGAAACUGGGUCUAAUACCGGAUAGGAGCCAUUUUUAGUGUGAUGGUUGGAAGGUUUUUUCGGUGUAGGAUGAGCUCGCGGCCUAUCAGCUUGUUGGUGGGGUAAUGGCCUACCAAGGCGGCGACGGGUAGCCGGCCUGAGAGGGUGGACGGCCACAUUGGGACUGAGAUACGGCCCAGACUCCUACGGGAGGCAGCAGUGGGGAAUAUUGCACAAUGGGCGCAAGCCUGAUGCAGCGACGCCGCGUGGGGGAUGACGGCCUUCGGGUUGUAAACUCCUUUCGCUAGGGACGAAGCUUUUUGUGACGGUACCUAGAUAAGAAGCACCGGCUAACUACGU
rnacentral:rRNA from 1 species